GCCGGGCAUGGUGGCGCAUUCCUGUAGUCCCAGCUACUCGGGAGGCUGAGGUGGGAGAAUCGCUUGAACCCGGGAGGCGAAGGUUGCAGUGAGCCAAGAUUGUGUCACUGCACUCUAACCUGGGUGACAGAGUGAGACUCUGUCUUUU
rnacentral:SRP_RNA from 1 species